rnacentral:lncRNA from 1 species
UUCGAUUCGAAUCAGGUACUGAUAAAUUUCAUACCAAGAUCUAUAUUCGUCGAGUUUUCGUUAGCAAAUGCUAACUCUAUUCGUUUAAUAUUGAAUAAAUCUUAUCCUAUUCACAUUCAAAUUUAAAUAAAAUUUCGAGUAUCCGUAUCCAUCGACAUCCGGAUGAAGGAUGCCAAUGCCCUAGUAAGUAUCAGUGCUAAAAAAAUUUAAUAAAAAAAUAACCAAUUACACCACACCUCGAAAUUCGGCACGACACGUUUCUCAAAACAAACAUUAUGUACAUCCUCCAUGUUGUUACAUAUACUAAUGAUUUACACAACCAUCUUUUUUUUUUUUUUUCCAAAUUCGAAAAUCUUAAAUUUAUACAGAACGAUAUUUUUAUAUUUUAUAAUUUUACGAAAAACUACGACAAAUUGACCUUCCACCCUCUCUCUCUCUUUUUAAGACCAGCAGCUGAAUUGAAGGGACUCCUCAAACUUAUCUUCUAAGGAUGGAGCGCAUGUCGAUGCGACGCGAUCCGUAACUUCUUCGGUUGUCGUUCCCAACUCCGAUCGUCGCAAGAAAAGACGGGAAGCUCCAAAUUUGGACGCUUUCGAACUGAAAAAAGAAGCGAUCGCAGCAGAAGUAGCGGCAGUAGCAGUAGCGACAGCGCCCGCAGCAGCAGUAGUGCUAAAAUUAGUAGUACUUGUUAUCAGAGUGUUAGGAUUGGGAUAAUGAGUGGUGGGUGUGGUUCGGCAGUGGUGGUAGCCAAGGAAGAGCAUUGCAGCAGUAGGAGCCAUAGAAACAAUUGUACAGAAAAAAAAAAGAAAAAGAAAAGUGGCCUAAUUAGGAGUGAGUAAAUAAAAUAGGAGAAAAGCUCCCCAUAACCCCUCUCUAUUUAUAGAGAAGAGUAGUGAGGUUUUAUUAUUAUUAUUAUUUUUUAAAAAAUUUUAUUAAUCAAUGAUUGAGGUUUGGAUGUGCUGUAAUGCGGGUUGGAUGAGAGAAUCUGUGGGUGGGUGCAGCUGAGUUGUCCAAAUCAAUGGGUUGUGUUGUUUCACGUGACUACUUAGAAAAGCCUCUGGUUUGUUA